AGGAAAUCUUGCUCUAGUGCCUGAAAACCAUUAGGCAGUUUAGCAAAGCCUUGGCUCCCGUCGUUGAGGACAUUGAUAAACUAGUGAAAUUCCGACAAAUGUCUUUGCGUCUUCACUCUGGGCCUUCCUAGUACCAGCCACCUGGGACCUAGACUUGUUCCUCGGUUUCAGCUCAAGCUGGUACAGAGGGGAGUCCAGCCAGGAGCAGUGGGAGGCUCCCCAGGAGCUGACUGACCGUAGAGAAUUCCCAGUACAGGGAGUGCUACGGAUCUCUCCUUGUGACUUGUGUGCGACAGGUCAUGGGUAUGGGUGCGAUGUGUACUGUGUGUGUGUGUGUGUGUGUGUGUGUGUGUUUACGUGUAUUUUCGGAGCGCUGGCUGUUAACGCCCUCACCGCCCCCACCGCACCCCUCUGGCUCCAAUCCAAUUCCAAAUCCCUGGUUACAGAUCUUAAGGACCAGACGGAUAGAGGGGAGAGAGGCUUCUCAGGCCCACCGAUGGACGGAAAGGGAUGGAGUGAUUUGGAAAUCCCUCUGCUCCCAAUCAGUCAGCCAGGCCUGAGGCCAGACGCUCCAGUGCAUUGCUGCGGAUGGUUACUCAUCGAGGGCUCAGGUCAUAGAAUCGUUUGGUCCACUAGACACUUAUCCAGCCUCACCAGGACACGCCAAGCCCUGCACAUUCCUGGGGACACAACGGUUGAAGGCACGGAGUGGCUCCUGGCCUUGAAGAACUCAUGUCAGGUGGGAACACAGCUACCUCAACUGAAACCCAGCAGCGACCUCAGGGAAGCCGAGGGCCUAAAGCACAACUGCCCCCCCCCCCAACCCCCAAGGACGUUCCAGUUGGGUAGCUUCAAAGGAAGCAUCUCCCUGACUCAGCCUCAGGAGGGCCACUGGGUCUGGCCAGGCAGCCUCACCUGCGUGUUUGGACCAGCAUCUAACUGUUGACCCUCUCUCUGGCACAUGGUUUCCCAGAAAACUAGGAGUUUUGACUGACAGUCACUUCUCAUCUGACAUCGAAAUCCCUGGAAGUUUCCAAGACAAAGCUGAGUUGCAGCCAUAGUCCUACCUGACCUUCUCCGGCCUGGGUCUCUUAUUUUUCUCUUCAUUCAGAGCCUUUGCCUGGACUGCUGACAGAAUGAUUGGCGUGACCUCGCUCUGAAACUAAUACCAAGACAUUUACCAAAUUUUCUCUGAAACUAUACCUUCAGCUCCUUUCCACCAUAUUGGAUUCCCUGUGAUUUGAGAAAAUAAGAACUGCACUGGAUAAGUCACAUGCUGCUUGAGACUUGACCUGAGUGGUGGCCUCCUCACCGGGCCUUGCUUCUGUCCCUACUUGUCCCUCAUUUCUUGUUCUCUUCAUAUUUGGGCUCCUUCCCAUUUUCUCAAGUGUGUUCCCUAAUGUCCUGCUUGGGGCCAAUUGUGAUGCUACAGGGUUAAAAUAUUCCCCUUUCCUUUCCCCCACCUGCCUGCUCAAUGCCACUUGGAAUCAGAAAUAAAACCAUCCAAAUUCAGCUAAGUUGUAGAUAU
rnacentral:lncRNA from 1 species